AUUGAACGCUGGCGGCAGGCUUAACACAUGCAAGUCGAGCGGAGAUGAGGUGCUUGCACCUUAUCUUAGCGGCGGACGGGUGAGUAAUGCUUAGGAAUCUGCCUAUUAGUGGGGGACAACAUUCCGAAAGGAAUGCUAAUACCGCAUACGUCCUACGGGAGAAAGCAGGGGAUCUUCGGACCUUGCGCUAAUAGAUGAGCCUAAGUCGGAUUAGCUAGUUGGUGGGGUAAAGGCCUACCAAGGCGACGAUCUGUAGCGGGUCUGAGAGGAUGAUCCGCCACACUGGGACCGAGACACGGCCCAGACUCCUAUGGGAGGCAGCAGUGGGGAAUAUUGGACAAUGGGGGAAACCCUGAUCCAGCCAUGCCGCGUGUGUGAAGAAGGCCUUAUGGUUGUAAAGCACUUUAAGCGAGGAGGAGGCUACUGAGACUAAUACUCUUGGAUAGUGGACGUUACUCGCAGAAUAAGCACCGGCUAACUCUGUGCCAGCAGCCGCGGUAAAAC
rnacentral:rRNA from 1 species